ACAAGACAAAGUGCUGGUAGGUCCCACCCAGCAGCAAUGAGGAGCGGACCACACACCUGCCCAGCACUGAGCCCACGGACCCCUCCAAGGUCAACCACGUGGCUCUCCACAUUGGCACAUCAGAGGGUCAAAACACGUGACUUCAAUGAAUGCAGGGAAAAACACUAACGAAAGAAAAUUCAAUACUCCCUAUCAUAGAUAGAAACGAACCAGGCCAAGAACAAAGUGGGACUUCCUGAAGCUCAUGUGGGCCACCGCCACACCCACAGCUGCAGUCGGACUGUGGGUGGAGUACGAGUGCUCCCCCUGCUGGUGAGCGGGGCAAGGCUGUCUCUGUGUCCUGCACCUGGCGCGAGAGAUGACGGCCAAUGCAAUAGAGCAAGACAAGUGGGCACGGGAGGGGUCUGAGAGCCUGCUGCUCCUGAGCGGCUGGCUUCCACACUAGUGCCCACCUCUCCACCUGGCCCUGGGCUGUGGGGGCAGCCGUGCCCUUCAUGGAAGCGGGGCAGACUGCCAAGGGCCAGGGGCAGGAAGGUCAGGCAAGUGCAGUAGCUGGAAGGAGCCAGGAGAUGCUGUGAUGUGGGAUUUCUCAUGUCCCUGGACACCCGGACCAGAGGGGCACCCCGGGGCCACUGGUGCGCACCAUGUCCUGCGGUCACUGGGGGUCUGUAGGAGAACGUCAUGAGGCCUGGAGGACACACAGACAUGGUGACUCCCACCUACCCCCGCUUUGGUUCCAAAACCCCCCCUAGAGAAAGGGCGAGAGUGUGGGAUAAAGGAAAUGGGACAAGAAGUAAGUGCUCAGCAGCUGGGAUAAGAGUUUCCAGAAAGUUCCCUCUCUAUUCUUGCAUCUUUAAUUUUCUUCUAAGUUUUGAAUUAUUUCAAAAUAAAUCACUGGAAAAAAUGAGAAGAGUUAAGUUGGGAAAUAAAUAAAUGUUACUUCAAAAGGAAGUGACCAUAUGUUCACAAUCAGAGCAAGUGGCUCCAAGCCCGAGUUCACGGGUGGCUCGCUGUCGG
rnacentral:lncRNA from 1 species